UGAAAUUCCAGAUGAAUGUCAGUCAAUGGCUUGACUCAUAAGAAAAAUGGAACUGUGAAUUUGUAGUAAGCAUGCUACAUGAAUUCAGAUAAUUGAUGGAAAUUGAGGAACUGACAAAGCAACAGAGGGAAGUCUGAUAAUAUUAGUAACUUUCAGUAGUCUUGAAUCUUACUCCUCCAUAAACUUAAGUGAUCUCUUGAAAAAGAAUUUUGUGUUGGCUUUCUAGGGAAAAAAAUCUGCAGAAAAAAAAGUCCAGAAGUAGAAAGCAAGCCUUCUACCUAUGGUUCUUGGGAGAAAAGGAAAAAAAAAAUAAAAAGAAGAAAAAGUCUGAAGUCUGUGCCCAAGAAAGGAGCAAGAGAGACACCAAGGAUGAUACCUUCUCUCAAAGCUGAUAAUUGAAUGGAGAAUCCAUUCCUGUUUUUCUGAUUAAGUUU